rnacentral:rRNA from 1 species
AUUGAACGCUGGCGGCAGGCCUAACACAUGCAAGUCGAGCGGAGCGGCGGACGGGUGCGUAAUGCCUAGGUAUCUGCCUGGUCGUGGGGGAUAACGUCCGGAAACGGGCGCUAAUACCGCAUCCUCUCAGCUGAGCAUAGGUCGGAUUAGCUAGUUGGUGGGGUAAAGGCCUACCAAGGCGACGAUCCGUAACUGGGCUGAGAGGAUGAUCAGCAACACUGGAACGGAGACACGGUCCAGACGCCUACGGGAGGCAGCAGUGGGGAAUAUUGCAAAAGGGGCGCAAGCCUGAUGCAGCCAUGCCGCGUGUAUGAAGAAGGCCUUCGGGUUGUAAAGUACUUUCAGCGGGGAGGCGUUACCCGCAGAAGAAGCACCGGCUAACUCCGUGCCAGCAGCCGCGGUAAUUC